rnacentral:rRNA from 1 species
UACGUAGGGUGCGAGCGUUGUCCGGAAUUAUUGGGCGUAAAGGGCUCGUAGGCGGUCUGUCGCGUCGGGAGUGAAAACUCAGGGCUUAACCCUGAGCCUGCUUCCGAUACGGGCAGACUAGAGGUAUGCAGGGGAGAACGGAAUUCCUGGUGUAGCGGUGGAAUGCGCAGAUAUCAGGAGGAACACCGGUGGCGAAGGCGGUUCUCUGGGCAUUUACUGACACUGGUGCGCGACAGCGUGGGGAGCAAACAGG